AUUGAACGCUGGCGGCAUGCUUUACACAUGCAAGUCGAACGGUAACAGGCCUUCGGGUGCUGACGAGUGGCGAACGGGUGAGUAAUGCAUCGGAACGUACCCAGAGUUGGGGGAUAACGCAGCGAAAGCUGUGCUAAUACCGCAUGUGAUCUGAGGAUGAAAGCGGGGGACCGAGCAGCAAUGUUUGGCCUCGCGCCUUUGGAGCGGCCGAUGUCGGAUGGGCUAGUUGGUGGGGUAAAGGCCUACCAAGGCGACGAUCCGUAGCUGGUCUGAGAGGACGACCAGCCACACGGGGACUGAGACACGGCCCAGACUCCUACGGGAGGCAGCGGUGGGGAAUUUUGGACAAUGGGCGCAAGCCUGAUCCAGCAAUGCCGCGUGCGGGAAGAAGUCCUUCGGAUUUUAAACCGCUUUUGGCAGGAACGAAACGGUGUCCGCUAAUACCGGGCGCUAAUGACGGUACCUUCAGAAUAAGCACCGGCUAACUACGUG
rnacentral:rRNA from 1 species